CAGGUUGACGUAGAUGGUGUGAAAUUGUCAAAUUGAAUUGCAAAAAUGGAUCUAGAUCAGAGUUUUCUGUCUGAAUUACCCCUUCAGCACCGACAGAAAGUUUGCCGGCAGAUCCGGCAGAAACAGAUAGAAAAGUACUUUGAAUUCGAAAAGUCAGACAGGGGACGAGAAUUGUUGCCAAGGAAGCAAGAAAAACGAAAUGUGCAUUUCUCACAGGCUUUGACCCUGCAAGUUGCAGUGGAUAACUUUGAUGAUAGGGAAGUUGCAAAAUGUCUUGACAAUGGUUGUGAUCCUAACUUUACCACUGGUAAUGGGACCUCCUUGCUACAUAGGUGUGCAGCAGAAGACAAUGUUAGCGCAGCUGAACUGUUGAUAUCUCAUGGAGCAGACGUGAAUUUACAUGAUGAUGAUUGGUGGACACCACUACACACAGCGUGCUCAUGUGACUGUCCUGAAAUAGCAAACCUGCUUGUUAAUAAUGGAGCUGAUCUAGCUGCUAUAGAUGUUGAUGGUUAUUUUCCUUUAGAUCAGGCAGCAGAAGGGUCAGAGGUCAGGGCAGUGAUGACCAAACACAUGGAAAAUAAAGGGUUAACAGAGAGAGUUCUACAUGAGAACAGGCAGUUGCGACCAAAAGAGUUUUUAAACUAUAUAAAAAGUUUACCACUUGCUGUUGAUGUCAACAUGUUAAACAAAGAUGGAGUGUCCCUGCUUCAUAUAGCAGCAGCAAAUGGCUACAGAAAUUGUAUGAAAGCUUUAUUCAGGUACAAUGCUGAUGUGAACAGGCUGGAUAACUAUGGUUGGACACCCCUUCAUGUUGCUGCAAGGUUUAAUCAGGAAAGAUCAGUUAUACUGUUGUUGAAGCAGAAGGCCAAUCCAAACCAGGAGGACCUGCUUGGGUGCAAGCCAUCAGCUGUAACAAGCUCCGAUAAAAUCAGAGGGAUUCUCAUGAAGUGUGAAAGAAAAAUGCAGCAGAAAGGUCAACAAGAAAAUGGACCUGUGUAUUUAGAACUAGAUGGCGGGGAUGAUGAAGAUACAGAUGACAAUGUUUAUCAUGAGAUUCAUGACAGUGAGGUAGGGAAAGGCAGAGAAGAUUCACAACUUGUUGGCAUUUUCAGGAUAAAUAGUAAAACUGUUCGAACAAAACAUGUGACAAUAUCAAAGGAAGAUGAGUUACAAGAAGCCAAACAGAUGUAUGAACACAUAGCAGAAUUCAGCAGUGGAGAUGUAAGUGCAACUGCUGCUACUGCUGAGGCUGUUGAGAAAGAUGAUAACAAAGAUGAUGAAGGUGACUAUGUUUCCAUGGCAAUCUGGAAAUCAGCUAGUAAAGAACAGGGAGAUCUCGUUCCAUGUAUGGAUGGCGAUAACUUAGUGACAGUGACUCUGGUCAAAGAUGAUUCAAUACUAACUGAAAUACAGAGAAGAUACAACAGCAAACAGAUAUAUACACUAAUUGGGGAUGUACUUGUUGCUGUGAAUCCAUUCCAGACCUUGCCAUGCUAUGCCAAAGAUAUAUCAUUACAGUACCAUACUGCCACUUUAGAAACCAAAUUGCCUCCACAUAUAUACCACAUUGCUGAGAAAUCAUACAAACGACUUUUGUACAAUAAGAAAUCACAGUGUCAUGUGAUAUCGGGAGAGAGUGGUGCAGGCAAAUCUGAAUCAUGUAAAUACAUUAUACAGCAUCUCUUACGUGUUGCUGGUAGUGAAGAAACAAAUUUAAACUCAAAAGUUAAUCAGGUGAAUCCAUUGCUGGAAGCAUUUGGUAACGCUGUGACGGUGAUGAACAACAAUUCCAGUAGAUUUGGCAAGUACGUGGAACUAAAUUUUACAAAGGAGGGAAAAGUUUGUGGAGCAAAGAUCUCGGAGUAUUUACUGGAGAAGUCCAGAAUAGUACUUCAAGGUAAAGGGGAGCAGAAUUUCCACAUUUUCUACUGGAUGAUGGCAGGCUUGUCACACGAAGAGAUCAGUCUUUACAAACUAGAGAAAAUGAAUCAAUUCAGGUAUUUGAAAUCUAGCCUUCCAACUGACCAGUCUGCUUCAGAGAACAAAGCCAAGUUCUGGGAAGUGAAGGAAUGUUUGAAAUAUAUUGGCUUCACCUCAGCAGAUAUACAGAACGUACUGAAGACAUUGUCAAUUGUUUUACAUCUCGGGGAGAUUGAGUUCCAUGGUGUGGGGAACAAUGAGGCAGCACAGGUGCGAAAUACUGACAUGUUGACUACAGUGUCAGAGAUGCUGGAUGUUUCUGCAGAAGAGUUGAGAUCUGCCUUGGUUGCUGAUUACACUGUGACUAGAGGAGAGCAGAUAAAGAAAGAAAGAACAGUUCAACAGGCUAUAGACUGUCGUGAUGCGCUUGCCAAAGCUCUCUAUGCACGAUUGUUUAGCUGGAUUGUGAAUGGCAUAAACCAACUUAUACAACCUGUAUAUGAACAUGGAAUACAGUCUGUCUGUGAACAUGGAGAGGACCUGCAGCUUGGUAUCCUUGACAUAUUUGGAUUUGAAAAUUUUCCUCACAAUAGCUUUGAGCAGAUAUGUAUAAAUGUAGCCAAUGAGCAGAUCCAGCAGUACACCAAUGAUAAUAUAUUCCAAAAUGAGCAGGAAGACUGUUUGUUAGAGGGUGUGCCAUUGGUUGACUUGGAUUAUAACAACAACCAGGCCAUAUUGAAUGUCUUCUUUGAGAAACACACAGGUUUAUUGGCCAUUCUAGAUGAGGAGAGCAGCUUCCCAAAAGCUACAGACAAAUCCUUGGCUACUAAACUUCAUCAAAACACAGGAAAGAAACAUCCAGGUUGUUAUAAGACACCGAGAGAUGGGGGUUUGUGUUUCACAGUGGUGCAUUAUGCAGGAAGUGUCAUGUAUGAUGUCACAGGAAUGUUGGAGAAAAAUAGAGAUACACUGCCAAACAGUAUUCUAUACACCAUGAAAACUAGUAACCAGCUUCUCAUCAAAGAAUUAUUCCAGUCCCGGAUCACACGGACUGGUUCUCUAGCACCAAGCGCAAGACAGCAGCGGAAUAGCAGAAGAACCAAGAAGAAAUCCUCGUCACCAUUUGAGUUCUUCAAGAAAUUCAAGGCCAAUAAUAAAGAGGCAAAGAAGGCACCAAAGAAUGUCAGUGUGGAGAAAAAAGGUGCUUCUACCAUGGCCUUCCACUUCAGAAAUUCCCUUAGUGACCUUAUCAGCAAGCUACAAGUGUCCAGUCCACACUUUGUCCGAUGUAUAAAACCCAAUACAACCAAGUCUGCCUUCAUGUUUGUCCCGGAAUAUGUUCUCGCACAGCUACGGUAUACAGGAAUAUCGGAAAUAGUAAAGAUCAGGAAAUUUGGAUAUGCACUACGGCUGCCAUUUUAUGACUUCUUGAAUAGGUUUCAUGUAUUGGUGAAAUGUUGUCUACCAGCAUUUUGUCCUCUGACAGACAUUCAGAAAUGUGAGGAAGUUGUCAGAAUAUAUGGGCUAGAGCAUGUCCAGUUUGGAAGAACGAAGCUGUUUCUGAAGAGUGAACAUGUCGACAAACUUGAUAACUUGACCGCUGACCUUGAAAGGAAGGUCACUACAGCACAAGCAGUUGUACGAGGAUUUUUGGGAAGACAGAAAUCAAGAAGACUGUCUGCAGCAAGAGAUGAAGAACUUAAACGUAGUGCUUUGGUCCUGAAAAAUGACCAAGCUGAGCAGGCUGCCAAGUCUUUAAGUAGUCUAGAGGAGAUAAUCAGUGACUACGAUGAUGCUUUCACAGUAAAACGAGAAACUGCUGUCACUGCUGAUGAUGAUGAUGAAUACUUGUAUGAUGAUGCUUUUAGCGUUCAGCAGCAUGCAACAGGAGACAAGUCUGGUGAAGAAGACAACAUGAAUGGACAUUUACAGAGAGGCUUACCCCCAACCCCUACACAUGGAAUGCAUUAUGACCCUUCACGACCCCCACCUCCACCCAAGGAGAUGUACUCUCAGGGGAUGUAUGCUAGCAUAGAGGAUCAGGGCUAUCUUGAAUAUAGAAAGCAAGCCCCUCCUCCUCCAAAACGUGAUCCAGGAACCAGGCUGAGUACGUCUUCGACAGGAACUUACGAGGAAAUCCAUGUUACAGAAUCUUAUACCCAUCACCAGCAUGGUCAUCAUCAACAGUCACACAGUUACGGGAGCCAGUCCCCAAUGCAUUCACCCCACAGUUCCCCAGCACAUCACCCAGGAUAUCACCAGCAACCACAAAGUUAUGGGAACCAGUCACCAGUUCAUAUGGUCCAUGGUUCCCCUGCACAUCAUACUGGUUAUUAUCAGCAACAGCAGAACAGUGGGAAUCAGUCAGAUAGACACACAACUCACGGUUCUCCAGUUUUAAAGUCAAGAGCUGGACAUGAGCCCCAGAGCCCGAGUUCGGCAGGAAGUCGACCAUUUUCUUAUGGUGCUGCAAUUUUAUCACAAAAACUACAUCAUGUGACAGACCAAAAUGUGAAUCAAAAUAUUCCCUCUGGUACACAAAAUGGACACAGUCAACAAAAUGUGCCAAAUCUUUCGAACUAUCAGUACAGUGAUCAAGGUGGAAGUAGUCCAGUGAUGAAUUAUGGGAAACAUGAAUCAGCAUUUCAUCCACAAUCACACAGGCCACCACCCUGUGGGCCUCCACCUCCAGUACCGCCAGAUCAUCCAAGUCAAGGUCAUAGAGUGGCAGCCCCACAGCCACAUUAUCCACAGAGCCCAAAAAUACAAAGACAGUCAUCUAUUCAAGGUAGUGUUCAUAAAUCAAAUUUUCCUGGAUCACCAAAACUUGCACAAAAAUUAUCACAGAGAAGUAAAUCGGUUCCAUGCAAUCCAGAGGAGGAUUUACUUCCUGCACCACCCCCACCUCUUACAGUGAGAGAAAAUUACAUGGCUGCAGCCCAGCACACCAACAGAACUCCUUCCCCACCUUUACCCCCUCCCCCGCCAGAAUUGCUCACAGAUCUUCCACCUCCGUCACCACCGCCACCACACCCAGCGAUGCUCGGUAAUGUGCCUCAUAUGAUGGAGCCUGUUGUAAAUCAAAGUCUUCCGAAUUCUGCAGUAUCCAUGUCGCCACGACAUCAACCUGCAGCCCCUGCUGCCCCGCCACCUCCACCGCCAGUGUCAUCGAUUCCAAAGAAGCAAGGAGUUGCAAGCAAUCAAGAGGGACCAAGACCAAGAAUGGCAUUACCUAAUGAGAAUGCAGGAAGCUAUUCUCCAGAACCAACCAGAGGGCACAAUUUACAAUCAGUGGCGCCACCUAGAAAAGAGUCUUCUCCAGAUCAAGCUGCUCUUAUACAACAGAUAAACAAGGUUCAGUUAAAGAGAACAGAGAGUCUGUCACAUGAGACGGAAGGGGAGAGAACUAGCUCAAGUCCUAAAACAGGAAUGGUAGAGUUAUCUGCAGUGAAGCUGAGACAGACAUCUGCUAGAAUCAAGUUACUGGAGAAAGAUGGAAUAAAGGCAACCAGUGAGGAACCAGUGCCAGAACCUCUCCCAGUACCACAAGAAGAGGCCCCACCUCCACCUGCAGUUUCCCAACCUCCCCCUGCGGAACCUCAGCAACUGACACAGGUGACGCCUGCUGUGUCCAUGUUUGAGAAGAAAGUCGAGAUGAUAGCAAAGGGAGAUCAGCGCAUUAGGAGAAAAGGUGAUACUUCAAACGAUUCCACAAUGGAUAUUAGCAUAGAUAACAUAGAUCUCAAUGAUGUACCGGGAUAUACUCCAAUCACAAGAAGUACACCAGUCUGGAAAAGAGACAUGAUUGAAAAGAAAAACCAGGAGAAAAUACAAGAAUAUAUUGAAGAAAAACGAAGAGAGAAAGAAGAGGCAGAGAAAUGGAAGAAUGUGCCAGCAUGGAAGAGAAAGUUGAUGAUGGAGAAACAGAAAGAACAAUCACAGAAAUCAAAAGAGGAACGGGAAAAGGCUGCUGAGGAGGAAGCUAAUAAGAAAAGACGGGAAAGGCAGGCAGAAGAAGCGCGAAAAGCAAAGAUUCGCGAGCAACAGGAGAUGGAGAAAAAAAUGGAUGAAGAAUUACAGGAUGUUCCUGCGUGGAAAAGAGAGAUUAUGAUGAAACGAGGCGGAGCUAUCAAGAACUGGGCAGAUGAGCGGGAGGAUCUUAAUGAACAGGUGGAUAAAUAAUUCCUGCCUGUUGUGUUCGUAAUGUUACUAGGGUGUGCGGUGUGUCAUGUUUUGUGUAUGACAAUCGUUGAUUGGUGCUGGAAUAACUGCAUGAUUUGUACAAUUUUUGCUUGAUUUCAUUUAUUUUUCCAUUUGUUCAUCUGAAGUAAGAAAAUUUAUGACCUGUUACAAAGUCAUUAGUAGCCCACCUACUUAGCUCAAUAAGGAGAGCGCAGAUCUUCAGAUAACGGGGUCAUGAGUAUAAUUCUUAGGCAAGAUGUAUGUUCCUGAUGAAUUGACAAAAGACAUAUUUUCUGAAAUGAUUUGUCAUCCAUCUCUGAUUCAUGUAGAUAAGUUGGAAGUUACUUGAAGAGAGCAAGUUUGUACUUGUACAAAAUCCAGGAACACUGGUUAGGUUAACUGCCACUUGUUACAUAACUGAAAUACUGUUGGGAAAAGGCACUAAAUACCGAGAUGUCAUUCUCAAAGGUUUGGGAGAAUAAUUCCAUUUUGUGAAAGUACUGUUUUAAGUAUUGUUUAUGCAUGUGUAGUUUUUGUUUACAAUACCAGUACCAAAAAUAUAGAAUAUGAAAUUAUUUAGAUUUAAAUAGCAGUAUAAGUUUGUGAUUUGAAUUUUGCAUGAGUAAGAUUCACCAAUUGUAAUAAGUACAUUACAUGUAUAUACAGGAAGUAUUAUCAUUUAAUCAUAACAGUUUAUACUGAUUGUUUUUGGUCACUGUUUCUUUUUACAUGUUUAAACAAGAGCAUGCAUUUUAUAUAAGCUAUGAUACAUGUUCCCCAUUACAAGCAUUUGUUAAUACACUGCAUUUGUUGGUAUUAAAAAUUAACAAUAAGUUAUAGAUGUAAGCUGUUUAGUGCAAUGUGUAGUAUUGAUAAUCUUACUUUUGUUUUCAUUAGUUUCUUAAAAACUUAGGGAGAGCAUUUGGAUCACAGUAUGAAAAUCCAGUUGCAUAUUCAGGUUAUAUCAAACUUUGGUGGGAUCUUCCUGGACCAUCAAAAGCAGAUGAGUCACCACAUUACACCCUUUUAAAUCCAACAAAGCAAACAACAAAUCAUGGCUCCUUUUAAGAUGUAACAUUGAUUGCCAAACAAUAUGUCUGAGAUUUUGAAAUGUUGGAGUUACAAGACCCUAGCAUGUGAUUGGUUGUUUCAAUGCAAGACUUUAAAAUAGACCAAUGGAAAGCUUGCAUCCCAAGACUGUUUGCAAUUUUGGAGCUUGGUUUGUAUCCAGAAGUGAUAUUUACUGUCAUGUUAGAUAUUUUUGCAUGACCUUGAUAAUCCGUGAAAUCUGAAAAGAGUCUGACAACAUGAGGUUUAAUCUUUUCUUAAGUCAUAAGUUUUUGCCAUAUUAUUAUACAGUGAUCUAAAUUCAAACUUUCCCAAGAACUAACUUUUUGAAAAAAAAACUUGAAUCAGUAGAAGUUAAUCCCUUGUGAAUAUUUCAGAUUUCAUAGUGUGUUAUUCUCAGAUCCUCUGUUUAUUACACAUCCAUUAUCAUUUUUGUAGUGGAAAUUCAGAAAAUUUCUUUUGAAAUGUGGCCAACAGUCUAAAAUUCCUGAACGGUUACAGUACCCGGUUGGUGAAAUACCUCUUGAACUUUGAAGUGAUCUUUAAUCCUUUAAUUUUAGCAUUAUAAGAUUGAGAAAGAUGGAUGCCAUUUUAGAAACAAACCAAUAAAACAUUUCCUUGAAAUGCAAGUGAGAUAUAAAUUUGAAACCCAUAUAAACACUAGGAAUUUAUACCUGUAUGUUACAUGUGCAUGAUACCUGUGAAAAUUAUUUAACUGCAUGUUUUGUUUUAUCAGUAAUAAGCAAACUGUGCCAAAACAAAGGGUUCCAGUCUUGAUGUUUGCUAAAUACCUAGGUAUGCAGAGAACUGUUUUAUAUCAUAAGCUGGUCCAAUUGGCAGGUAUAUAUGUAGUUAGACAGUAGCUAUUGUAGACUGAAAAGCUGGACAUGAAUUCAGCAAAGAUUUUAUGAUUAAUCUAAUUUUGCAGUGUAUUUUCUUAGAUUGGAAGAAAUUAAAUUUCCAAGUAAUUUCCAAAGAUUUGAUAGAAUUGAUACAUUCAAAUCAAAACAAUAUUCAAGGAUUUGCUCCGCAGUUAAUGCCUUAUUACAUUAUAUUAUAUUUUUAGAUGCUAGGUUUUUAGCUCGACUAUUCAUAGAAUAGUGAGCUAUUGCACUCGCCCAUGCGUCGGCGUCCACGUCCGCGUCCGCGUCCCGAUUUUGGUUAAGGUUUUGUAAGCUGGUAUCUCAGUAACCACUUGUGGGAAUGGAUUGAAACUUCACACACUUAUUCACUGUGACAAACUGACUUACAUUGCACAGGUUCCAUAACUCUAUUUUGCUUUUUUACAAAAUUAUGCCCCUUUUUCGACUUAGAAAUUUUUGGUUAAGGUUUUGUAUGUAAGCUGGUAACUCAGUAACCACUUGUGGGAAUGGAUUGAAACUUCACACACUUAUUCACUGUGAUGAACUGAUCUACCUUGCACAGGUUCCAUAACUCUAUUUUGCUUUUUUACAAAAUUAUGCCCCUUUUUCGACUUAGAAAUUUUUGGUUAAGGUUUUGUAUGUAAGCUGGUAUCUCAGUACUUACUAAUGGGAAUGGAUUGAAACUUCACAUACUUGUUCACUAUCAUGAUCUGACAUGCACUAAGCAAGUCCCAUAACUCUACUCUCUCUUUUUUCAAAAUUAUGCCCCUUUUUCGACUUAGCAGUUUUUGGUUAAAUUUUUGUAUGUAAUCUGAUAUCUCAGUAUCCACUUAUUGGAAUGGAUUGAAACUUCACACACUUGUUCACUGUCAUGAUCUAACAUGCACUGUGAAGGUCCCAUAACUCUACUUGGCAUUUUUACAAAAUUAUGCCCCUUGACUUAGCAGUUUUUUGUUAAGUUUUUGUAUGUAAGCUGGUAUCUCAGUAUCCACAAAUUGGAAAGGAUUGAAACUUCACACACUUGUUCACUGUCAUGAUAUGACAUGCAGUACAGAGGUUCAAUACCUCUACUUUGCAUUUUACAAAAUUAUGCCCCUUUUUCAACUUUUGUAUUCAUUCAAUUGACAAGGCUGUUGAAUAGUCGAGCGUUGCUGUCCUCCGACAGCUCUUGUUUUAUAUUAAAUCUCAUAGGGCAGUAACUUCUCAUUUUUAAAUUGACAUAAUGCCUUUCUUUGGUUAAAAUAAAAUGUAUAAAUCAGUGUGUUUAUUUUUGAGAUAUUUGCCCAUGAUUGAAGAGAUCUGCUAAAUUCAAGAUAUCUUGAUUUUUUGACCUAAUUAGGAUUUAGUGUUGGUCUUACAUUUUAAUAUUAAGAAAGACAGAAACAGUAAACACAAACGUUGCCAUUGAUCCAUGGUUUGAUUUACAUUUCUGUAUACUGGAUCCAGGCUGUAUUCCGUUUUUGGAUAAAUGUUACGCCAUUUUGUUACGUUUUCCAAACAUGUAGAACUUGCAUAGUACCCAUGUAUAAUGCGCAGUUUUUUUACCCCCGGGACCACCCCCGAAUCGUGGGUGCGCAUAAUACACAGGUAUAGACAAUUUUCCAACUUCAAAACAAGUUUGUUACCGAUGUUCGCCAUUUUGGUAAAGGGAAACUACUCCCCGCGCUUACUGUCUCCGCUAAAAUCUAAGAUUGCCGUUACGUUCCGUAAAAGAUCGAAUUGUUUAUUUUUCUUUCAAACAAAAUUAAUUUCAUAUAAAUUUAAAAGUAUUUUGACGAAAGAAAUGUUUACAAAUCACAAAAAUUAUGAUACUAAUUAAAGAUCGAGAAUUAUCUUUAACCGAGAUCAAACUGUAAACAAUAAUUGACACUAGGUGACACGUUAAUUGCCGGUAAUUACUGGCUUUAUGAUCGUGACAAAAAGACUAUCACACCUUUUGUUAUCUGUUUGAAUUGAGAAGCUCAUGUCAUUUUGAAAGAUACCAUUCCGAAAUAUUGAAUCAGCUGCUAUUUAUUUAUUCAAAAUAGUGAAUUAAAAAAGGUAAAACAACAAACAUAACAAUAAUUUACUGGUUUUAUUUUCGAGAAAACAAAAAUCGAUAGUACCGUGAGACCGAUGCUGCUCUCCGCCGCGGAGAUAAAAUUUAUUACUGGUGUCGAUGUAAACUCUACUUUCGUUUUCCAUCCACCUCAAAAUUGACCAAAAUUUUUUUUUUCCCCAGGAUUUUGGACUAAGAUCGGGGGUGCGCAUUAUACACGGGUGCGCAUUAUACAUGGGUAUCUACGGUAUGCCCUAAAAGUCAUAGCAUAGAAAUUCUCCACUAUUUUUGAUAUGAUCUUAAAUUUUUUCAGCUCUUUUUUGAUAUGUUUUUAAUUUUAUAGGACUGAUAUACUCUACUGUUUUUAGGGAACUGUAAAUGAUAUAAGGCAAAUGCUCUCUGCUGUUUUUGAUAUGCUGUUUGUUAUAGGGCUAAAAUUCUCCACUGUUUUUGAUAUGUUGUUAAUUUCAUAAGGCUGAUAUUUUCUGCUGUUUAUUAAUUUUGCUAAGACAUAAGACAGAAUAAACUUUAACUGUCUACUGUACUUGAUAUUCUGUAUCUUAGAUAUGCUGUAAAUGAUAUAGGCACUUCAUACAUGCUCUGUGUCAUGGCAAAUACUCUACUGUUUUGAUAUAACAUAUUAUACAUUCAUCUGUUUUAAAAUUUUCUCCACUUUAUUUGAACUACAGUAAAAUAAUAGGGUAGUUUUUCCACUGUAUUUUAAAUGUUUUUAAGAACUUUUUUUUGCCCCACAUUUAUGUUGUGGGGGUGCAUAUAGCAAUGCUGCUGUCCGUACAUCCAUCUGUACAUCCUGAAAUCUUGUUUGUCCAGCUCCUCCCACACUAUUAGCCUGAUUUGCUUCAAACUUCAACUGAUGAACAGACUUGAUAUGCAGAUUACUCUAAAGGAAGGAACUUUUGUUGUGACUAUUUUUACUGCAGUUAUGGCCCUUUGAUAGUUUUGCUAUCUAGAACAUAGAGAAAAAAUGCUAUCUUGUGUGUCCAACUCCUCAAACACUAUUGAAAGGAUUCACAGAUGAAGGACCUUGAUGUGAAGAUGACCAUAGAUAAUGAACUUUUAUUUAUGUGGCUAUUUUUUGUAGAAUUAUGCCAUUUCUUAAUUUCACAAAAUGGGCCAUAGUGAAGAAAUCUGGUGUGUUCAACUCCUCACACUUGUUGAAUGGAUUCAAAGUUGCCCAGAUGCACUACCUUAUCUGAAUACAAUUGGCUUCAAACUUUCAGUCAAUCGUCCUUCAUGUGAAGAUGGUCUGUACUAAAAACUUUACUAUUUAGAGGAUAGCACAGUAUGUGGGGGCAUCCGUCUUCUAUACACAGAAUUCUAGUUUAUUUCUUUAUAACAGUAUACACAAGAUAUGCUUGUAUUGAAGUUUUUCAGAAUGUUUAAAAAAAGUUUUACCAAUCUUGAUAUAGAAUAUACUUAGGUUAUUUUCCCAUUUAUUAUAUAGUUAUUUUGUAGUAUGUUUAAGAUAUAGUUUAUUACAGAAAGUAUUAGUUUUGCUAUGGUGUAAAUAGAUCAAAAAAGUAUUCAGAUAUAAUAUUCAGCCUUUUGCUAUAGAUAUUUAACAGAGGACAACUUUUGUUGUUCAGCUUCUUUUGUAAAAUACUCCUUUUUUAAGUGCAAUAUGUUACAAUGUAUAUACUCCAGUAUUUGUUUUGUUAGACUGGUGCAGUAUUAAUGGAAAAAAAACUAGACUUAAGUUGCAUUUUGAAAUUAAAAGUUAAUAUUUCAACAUAAAACUGGACUGCUUCUAUGCUACAAGUGAUACAGGUCAGUCUGGGUCUUUUAAAAAAAAUAAGUUUUGAUAAAGAUAGGUCAAUGUCAAAUUUUGAUAAACUGAGAUUAAUUCGGAUCACAUUUUGAUAUUUAUGGUAAUAAUACUCCUUUUCAGUAUAAGGAACGUUAAUGUAAUUAAGAUUCAGUUGCAUUUAUUAUUCUUUUUGUUUGUUUUUACCAACUACUUACAGAACUAUUUCUGUAUGCAGAUUAUGCCUGCUAACCCUGAUAGCUGUAAAUACCUUUAUGUUGGUUAUGCUUUAUGUUGAUAAUUAAAUACUGUAUGGUUUGAGGAAAUUGAUUGUGUAGCAUGCAGUUUGUGGUAGCAACUAAUCUGUACAUUGGCAAUACUUUUACUCCUUUAGCUGCUACAUAGAUCUGCAUUAAAGUCAUAUAAGAGGGCUUUAUAUUCUAUUGUGUCACUGGCAACAUUCCUUUGUGUGUUGAUUACAAUAUUGUGGUAAAAAUGCCGAACGUUUUUGUUUACAUUUUAUAUUUGUGUCAUUAAACAUUGAAAUAUUAUAGUUACUGUUUGAUCCACUUGAUUUGUAGCAGGGUUUAUUGCAUAUUGUAGCAUUAUUUCGCAAGAUUCAGUCGUGUACUAUACAUCAUUCUAAAGAUAUCUGAUUUAGGUAGUAGGGUCUUUCUGAAUUUUUAUGCCCCCACCCCCACCCCCGCAUCACACUUUGAAGAAGAGAGGGUAUAUUGUUUUGCUUGUUUAUCAUCAGUCUGUAGGUAGCUAGACCAUUUGGUUUCUGAUCAAUAACUAGAGAGUGCUUGGUCUUACAGUGGUCAAACUUUAUUGGAUGGUUGUCUGUGGCCAGUAAAUGGCCCCUGUUGUUUUUGGGAUCAGUAGGUCAAGGUCACAUUGGCAUUGAGAGAGAAAAUAAUUUCUGCUCAGUAAUUAAAAAACCAUUGGCAUACUGCCUUCAGACUUCAUACAGGGAUGGUUGCUGUGGUCAGUAGGUCAAAGGUGAAGGUCACAAUGACACUGAGACUGAAGACAGUGUCAGCUGAGUUUAUAAAUUACCUGUAGUCAGGAGAUCACCUUUAUUUUGGGUCAUAAGGUCGAAGGGCAAGGCCAUAGUGACUUCUGAACUGAAACUAGAACAUACCAUCAUUGGGGGAAUAUGUGUUUUACAGACAACUCUUGUUAAAAGUGUUUUAAAGAAAGAUUGUUUAAAUGUUAAUUCACAAUUUUGAAAAAGAAAAAAAAAUAGAUUGGUUACAAUUAACAGUAAAUUCUAAAUUAACAAAGAGUUCUUUUAACCCUUAUUAUGCUGGACAUUGGGUUUGCCUUGGUGGUCAGUGUAGAUCAUGAUCAGCGUGCACAUUCGUGCAGUCUGAUCAAGAUCUGCACUGUUCGCCAUUUAGUCAGUAUCUUUUUGGUAAGUACCCCUUUUAACUGUUAAUGGUACUGUCUAAAUUGAAAGAUGGACAAGUUCAUUAUAGAAAUUUAGCAGGGUAGGGGUUAAAUGAUGUAUAAAGUCAAUGACACUCUUACACAGGAAAACCCUUACUUAAGAAAAGCUGGAUUAAACAGUAACUUCAAUUAAAUUUACAUUUUAACACAAGAUUUUUAUACUCGAGAGAGAGAGAGAGAGAGCUAAGUUCAGAUUUGUGAAGGGUACUAAAUUAUAAUUGUAUAUAUUUGUCUGUGAUGAAUUUAAAGUCACAGUAGUGUUCAAAAUCAGGAAUUGUUCUCAUUGCAAAAUGAGGAAAAGGCUCUUCUUACAAAAUGAGAAAGAGGUUCUCCUUACAAAAUGAGGUAGAAUUUCUCCUUAUAAAUUGAAAUAGCAGUUCUCCUUUCAAAAUGAGGUAGAAUUUCUCUUUACAAAAUGAGGUAGAUGUUCUUACAAAAUGAGGUAGAAUUUCUCCUUACAAAAUGAGGGAGAAGUUUUCCUUACAAAAUGAGGUAAAAUUUCACCUUGCAAAAUGAGGGAGAAGUUUUCCUUACAAAAUGACAUAGAAUUUCUCCUUGCAAAAUGAGGUAGAAUUUCUCCUUACAAAAUGACGUAGAAUUUCUCCUUACAAAAUGACGUAGAAUUUCUCCUUACAAAAUGACGUAGAAGUUCUCCUUACAAAUUUAGAAAAAGUUCACGUUACAAAAUGAGGUAAAAGUUCUCUUUACAAAAGAAAUUGAAGUUCUUACAAAAUGAAAAGAAGUUCCUUACAAAAUGAGGUAAAAGUUCUCCUUACAAAAUGAAAUUGAAGUUUUAACAAAAUGAGAUAGAAGGUCUUCUUAUGAAAUGAGACAGAGAAGUUAUUCUUACAAAAUCAGAUAGAAAUUUCAGAGGAAUCAAGUUUGAUCCUUCCGAAAUAGCAGUGGAAAACAAAAAAAGUUAAAACGAUUUUAUGUAGAUUUAUGAGAUUGUAAAAAAUCUAGGGAUAGUCCUUUUUUAAAUUUUAUUGAAUUACUUGAUUCUAGACUUAUCCAACAUAUUGUUUUCUUGGUAACUUUUUUUCACUUAUCUUUUUAUCUCCUACACUAAAGCUGUUCGAAUAUUCCUUUUUAUUUCCUUUCAUAAUAUUUUUUCUGUUUUUGAACACUAUUAUCACUUUAAAACUUGUGGAACAAUCUUACCUUUAUUUCAUUUUUAUUUCAUACAAAAAGUUUUUAUAUACUGUCGAUAUAAUGCCAAAGUUCUGCUUGCUUUUGAUAUCAUACUUUUUAUCUAUACACAUAUCUGAAUAAAUUCUUGGAAUCCUG